AUGGUGGAAGCUGUCAUAGUGAGGAAGGACAGCAUGGGCUUGGUCCUGUGCGGGGCUCUGUUCUCAGUUCCACUGCUGCUGUCCCUGAGGGCAGCCGUGUACCCACAAGGUUCCCUGGUCCAGGCAGCGCUGACUCAGCCCUCAUCAGUGUCAGUGGAGCCAGGAAAGGACGUCCAGAUCACCUGCUCUGGGAGCAGCUACAACUACUAUGGCUGGGUGUCACACGAGAGUUGUGACUGUACCCCUGUCACUGUGAUAUAUGAGAGCAGUAAGAGACCCUCAGGCAUCCCUUCAUGAUUCUUCGGAUCUAUCUCUGGCACCAUGGGCAUGUAA